UGAGUUGGUAAAGGAAUGGAUGAUCAUAGUGCUUGAGUUUGGUAAAGAAGUGGAUGAUCAUUUCGAUGUUUUAUCUUAUAACAGAUUUGACAUUUUGUGCCUUUUGUCCUAUGUAGUUUAUAAAUACAUAUAGUUAAUCUUCUAUGUAAUUAACACUAAUAAAUUUGGUCAUAGAAAAAUAAAUAAAAACUGUUCGAGAAAGCAAAGAUGAUUGUUCAAACAUACAUAAAACUGGACUGAUUAAUGUGUCAAUUAUUUUGACCGCAUCUAAACGAAUAAUAUCUGCAACUUACCUAUAUAUUUGCUCACAAAUCAGUAUAUAAACUAAAUGAUGACCCGCGCAGGGCGCAAAGUGAAUAAGUUAAAAAAGAUUAUAAUUUUUAGUCUAUAGAUAUUUGAAAGAUAAAAAUGCGGGUCA
rnacentral:lncRNA from 1 species